rnacentral:rRNA from 1 species
AUUGAACGCUGGCGGCAUGCCUUACACAUGCAAGUCGAACGGCAGCACGGGUGCUUGCACCUGGUGGCGAGUGGCGAACGGGUGAGUAAUACAUCGGAACAUGUCCUGUAGUGGGGGAUAGCCCGGCUAAAGCCGGAUUAAUACCGCAUACGAUCUACGGAUGAAAGCGUGGGACCUUCGUGCCUCGCGCUAUAGGGUUGGCCGAUGGCUGAUUAGCUAGUUGGUGGGGUAAAGGCCUACCAAGGCGACGAUCAGUAGCUGGUCUGAGAGGACGACCAGCCACACUGGGACUGAGACACGGCCGAGACUCCUACGGGAGGAAGCAGUGGGGAAUUUUGGACAAGGGGGGAAAGCCUGAUCCAGCAAUGCCGCGUGUGUGAAGAAGGCCUUCGGGUUGUAAAGCACUUUUGUCCGGAAAGAAAUCCUUGGCCCUAAUACGGUCGGGGGAUGACGGUACCGGAAGAAUAAGCACCGGCUAACUACGUG